UCAUCACUACGCUAGAUGCAUAUCAAUAAGCGGAGGAAAAGAAACUAACUAGGAUUCCCUCUAGUAACGGCGAGUGAAGCGGGAAGAGCUCAAAUUUGAAAUCUUCAAGGUUCUACCUUGACGAAUUGUAGUUUAAAGAAGUGUUUUCUGUUGGAGUUUUGGUAAAAGUUCUUUGGAAUAGGACAUCAUAGAGGGUGAGAAUCCCGUAUUUGACCAUUAUUUCCAACUUUGUGAUACACUUUCAAAGAGUCGGAUUGUUUGGGAAUGCAGUCCAAAAUGGGUGGUAAAUUUCAUCUAAAGCUAAAUACUGGCGAGAGACCGAUAGCGAACAAGUACCGUGAGGGAAAGAUGAAAAGAACUUUGAAAAGAGAGUUAAACAGUACGUGAAAUUGUCAAAAGGGAAGCGUUUGACACCAGUGUUGUUUUCUCGAAAAUCAAUUAAAAAUGGUGGGAUGUUGUGUUGUAUUGACUUUAUCAGCUUUCUGCACUUUUUUUCCUAUCUUUUUUAAUGCACUUUUCGUUUAACAAGUCAACAUCAAUUUCUUUUGUUGUAAAAGAGUCAUUGGAAGGUGGCUUUCUUUUCGGAGAAAGUGUUUAUAGCCUUCGGCUUCUGCAAUCGGAGAGAUUGAGGUCUGCAGCGUAGAUCCUUCGGGGUUAGAUACAUUUGUGCUAAGUUAUAGCCUUUCAUAGACAACUUGUUGACUAUGAUCAGUCAUGUAGCUUACUCGCUUAUGCUAUUUUACCUACGCUUAGGAUGUUGAAGAUAUGCGCGACACG
rnacentral:rRNA from 1 species